rnacentral:lncRNA from 1 species
UAUCCGAUCAAUCACAACCUCUUAUGUGUGUGACCCCAUAGGUUCUAUUCUAUCUGGUAGUGAGAUAUAUUUUGAUCACUAUCAACAAUAUCACUGAAACUCCUUUCAAUGGAUUAGAACAAUUCCAACUCAGCCCAAUGAGAAUUAUCGAUCAUCUAGAAAAUUCUCAUGAGUCUCACAAUCCACCAGUGACGCCUAGCAGCAUGUAGUGGCAUUCCAGUAGAAUGGAAUAAUGAACCUCUUGGUGCAGUUACCGUGUGAUACAAUCCUUCUAUCAUGAGUCCCGACUUGACGGAGGUUAUGGAACAACUCGUCAAACCCCAUCGUCUGUCAUAUGUUAAAUUUAUUCGACUCGAGUUUCUAAUAUCGGAAACCCUUUUCCGCUAUUUAUUUUGCCCUGGCCAAGGUCUUCUAAACUCGGUCUCAUAAAUCACAUAGGACUAACACCCCUAUCUACCAAGGGAGAUAGAAUUCCAUCUGAGUGCGCACCCUAUUCCUACAAUGAACCUACUGCAGCCAACAUGCACCGCAAGGACCCGAAUGGCUAGGGACCAAGUGUAUGUACAGUCAAACUACAGUAACCUUAUUGUGAAUAGCCGAGGCACCGCAGGUCAAAGGACCAGUCACACUACUGCAACAAUUGAGUAAGUCACUGACGAGUGAGUAGACAUCCAAGUGACUUCUCGCGUUGGUCACGCUCGGUACCCUUGUUCUCUAACAACCACCUGCAUAUUCGCUUCAGUGUCCCCACACUGUCGACUCGAAACUCGUCUACCCAAAAGGGAAGCGACCUAUGCACCAAUCUCACUGGAUCAAUCACCGUCCCCGUGAUGAUCCAUUGAUCGGGA